CCUACGGGAGGCAGCAGUGAGGAAUAUUGGUCAAUGGGCGCGAGCCUGAACCAGCCAAGUAGCGUGAAGGAUGACGGCCCGACGGGUUGUAAACUUCUUUUAUAAAGGAAUAAAGUGAGGCACGUGUGCCUUUUUGUAUGUACCUUAUGAAUAAGGAUCGGCUAACUCCGUGCCAGCAGCCGCGGUAAUACGGAGGAUCCGAGCGUUAUCCGGAUUUAUUGGGUUGAACGGGAGCGUAGUUGGGUUGUUAAGUCAGUUGUGCAAGUUUGCGGCUCAACCGUAAAAUUGCAAUUGCUACUGGCAGUCUUGCGUACAGUUGCGGUCGGCGGCUUUCGUGGUGUAGCGGUGACCUGCUUCGAUCUCAC
rnacentral:rRNA from 1 species